rnacentral:rRNA from 1 species
UACAGAGGUCUCAAGCGUUGUUCGGAUUCAUUGGGCGUAAAGGGUGUGUAGGUGGCGCCGUAAGUCGGGUGUGAAAUUUCGGAGCUUAACUCCGAAACUGCAUUCGAUACUGCGGUGCUUGAGGACUGGAGAGGAGACUGGAAUUCAUGGUGUAGCGGUGGAAUGCGCAGAUAUCAGGAGGAACACCGGUGGCGAAGGCGGGUCUCUGGGCAGUAACUGACGCUGAGGAGCGAAAGCGUGGGGAGCGAACAGG